rnacentral:sRNA from 1 species
GGCCAUUGAAAGAAUUGUCGGAUGUAGCGUCCAGGCUGGAGGUGUUAGACAACUUUAAAGAACUAUCACAAACUCUUAUACAAAAUAUUAGCAAGGUCGCACAGAAGGGUGAAGCCUGGGCAGAUGAAAGUGGCGAUUUAAACUACAGUGAACUAAAACAAAUUAUUAUUGAAGAAACAGAACAAUGCGUUCAGAGUUGUUUGGAAAUAGCACAACAAUAUAAAGGAACUUUGGCAUUAACAUCUAAAGUACAGUCCAAUCAUGGAGAUCCUGGGAUAGACUCCAUGGAAGAUUCC